GACGAACGCUGGCGGCGUGCUUAACACAUGCAAGUCGAACGGAAAGGCCCUGCUUUUGUGGGGUGCUCGAGUGGCGAACGGGUGAGUAACACGUGAGUAACCUGCCCUUGACUUUGGGAUAACUUCAGGAAACUGGGGCUAAUACCGGAUAGGAGCUCCUGCUGCAUGGUGGGGGUUGGAAAGUUUCGGCGGUUGGGGCUGGACUCGCGGCUUAUCAGCUUGUUGGUGGGGUAGUGGCUUACCAAGGCUUUGACGGGUAGCCGCCCUGGGAGGGUGACCGGCCCCAGGGGGCUGGGGGACCGGCCCGGACGCCUACGGGGGGAAGCGGGGGGAACUUUGCCACAAGGGGCGGAGGCCGGAGGCAGCACCGCCGCGUGCGGAAGGCCGGCUUUCGGGUGGUAACCCGUUUUCGCCUGUGAGGAGGCGUGGUGGCGGGAAAUGGUUAAAGAGGCACCGCCAACUUCCUG
rnacentral:rRNA from 1 species